rnacentral:rRNA from 1 species
GACAUAGGUGGCAAACGUUAUCCGGAAUUAUUGGGCGUAAAGGGUGCGUAGGCGGGCUUUUAAGUCAGCGGUGAAAGCUUCGAGCUUAACUCGGAAAUUGCCGUUGAUACUAUUAGUCUUGAAUUAAGUUGAGGUGGGCGGAAUAUGUCAUGUAGCGGUGAAAUGCUUAGAUAUGACAUAGAACACCGAUUGCGAAGGCAGCUCGGUAAACUUAUAUUGACGCUGAGGCACGAAAGCGUGGGGAGCAAACAGG